GAUGAACGCUAGCUACAGGCUUAACACAUGCAAGUCGAGGGGAAACGACAUCGAAAGCUUGCUUUUGGUGGGCGUCGACCGGCGCACGGGUGAGUAACGCGUAUCCAACCUGCCCACCACUUGGGGAUAACCUUGCGAAAGUAAGACUAAUACCCAAUGAUAUCCCACGAAGGCAUCCGAAUGGGAUUAAAGAUUUAUCGGUGAUGGAUGGGGAUGCGUCUGAUUAGCUUGUUGGCGGGGUAACGGCCCACCAAGGCUACGAUCAGUAGGGGUUCUGAGAGGAAGGUCCCCCACAUUGGAACUGAGACACGGUCCAAACUCCUACGGGAGGCAGCAGUGAGGAAUAUUGGUCAAUGGGCGAGAGCCUGAACCAGCCAAGUAGCGUGCAGGAUGACGGCCCUAUGGGUUGUAAACUGCUUUUAUAAGGGAAUAAAGUGAGUCUCGUGAGACUUUUUGCAUGUACCUUAUGAAUAAGGACCGGCUAAUUCCGUG
rnacentral:rRNA from 1 species